AUGCAGACAGCACACACAGGUUUAAGCCACACUGCAGAUGGCGCUGAUGGUCAGACUAGCCUUUGCUGUCCUGGUAAUGCAGGCACAAAGGCAGUUAUUCCCAGUGGAGCUCACCCUGUUGCAAGAGCACUGGAAGCCUCCCGAAAUUCCAGCAAACGCACGGUACCUUUAACCCAAAGGCCUAGAAUCGGACAUCACAGAUUCGCCCUCUUUGUGCCUUUCCCGACCUCUUUGGAGGCAGAAAUCGCCUGUGGGUCCCUAGUUCCUGAUGUUGAACCACACCGAGGACUGGUAGGGAAGGAGCUUAAAGUGAGAGGCUGCGUGCUGGAGGUAUGCUGGAUCACGGAAGUUUCUUGCCUCCUCCGAAUUUCCAUCAUCAACUUUCUUGACCAGCUUUCCCUAGCGGUGAACACCAUACAGCUCUUUGGGCCCCCAGUUUCCUAUUAA
rnacentral:lncRNA from 1 species